UUUCAGAGUACGUGAAACCGUUUAGGGGUAAACCUGAGAAACCCGAAAGGUCGAAGGGAGAAAUUCAUUCGCGUUUCGACGCAGGCGCGGGACGGAGUCCGGAGCGACGGAACGCCGUUUCUCUCGGAACGGGACGGUUUCGCGCCCUCCGUCUCUCGAACCGGCGGCGAACGCGUGCACUUUUCUCCUGGUAGGACGUCGCGAUCCGUCGGGCGUCGGUCUACGACUUGCGGUGGAGCCCGCCCGUCUCGUCUUUCGUACGUGCGGACGGACCCGCUCGUUCCGGCCGACUCGCUCGACGGUAUACCUAAGGUCGGAGGCCGCUCGUUUUUUUUUAAGGAGCGUUCGACUCGUCGCAAGCGCGCCACGUGCGUCGGCACGCGGACCCGGUGCCGCGUCCGACCUCUGGCGACUGUUGGCGACGACGUUCUCGGACAGACCUCUUUUUUUCGAAUCUCGAAGACCGAUCGGCGACGCUAUAGCUUUGGGUACUUUCAGGACCCGUCUUGAAACACGGACCAAGGAGUCUAGCAUGUACGCGAGUCAUUGGGAAUCGCUAAACCUAAAGGCGUAAUGAAAGUGAAGGUCUUCCUCACCGAAGACCGAGGGAAGACGGACGAUCGAGCGGGGAUUUAUUAUUAAUUUCCGAUCGUUCUGCAUUCCCGGGGCGUCUCGUUCACGUCGCGUGAAGAGGCGCACCAAGAGCGUACACGCUGGGACCCGAAAGAUGGUGAACUAUGCCUGGUCAGGACGAAGUCAGGGGAAACCCUGAUGGAGGUCCGUAGCGAUUCU
rnacentral:rRNA from 1 species